UACAGAGGGGGCAAGCGUUAUUCGGAAUUAUUGGGCGUAAAGGGCGCGUAGGCGGCUUGGCAAGUGGAUGGUGAAAUCCCUCGGCUUAACCGAGGAACUGCCGUCCAAACUGCUUCGCUUGAGACCGGGAGAGGUGAGUGGAAUUCCCAGUGUAGCGGUGAAAUGCGUAGAUAUUGGGAGGAACACCAGUGGCGAAGGCGGCUCACUGGACCGGUACUGACGCUGAUGCGCGAAAGCUAGGGGAGCAAACGGGG
rnacentral:rRNA from 1 species